rnacentral:rRNA from 1 species
GUGAGGAAUAUUGCGCAAUGGAGGCAACUCUGACGCAGCCAUGCCGCGUGCAGGAAGGAGGCGCUACGCGUUGUAAACUGCUUUUAACCGGGAAGAAACCCCAGGACGUGUCCUGGGUUGACGGUACCGGAGGAAUAAGCACCGGCUAACUUCGUGCCAGCAGCCGCGGUAAUACGAAGGGUGCAAGCGUUAUCCGGAUUCAUUGGGUUUAAAGGGUGCGUAGGCGGAGCGUUAAGUCAGUGGUGAAAUCCUGCAGCUUAACUGUAGACUUGCCAUUGAUACUGGCGCUCUUGAGUGCGCUUGAAGUGGGCGGAAUGUGCCGUGUAGCGGUGAAAUGCUUAGAUAUGGCACAGAACACCAAUUGCGAAGGCAGCUCACUAAGGCGAUACUGACGCUGAGGCACGAAAGCGUGGGGAUCGAACAGGAUUAGAUACCCCUGUAGUCC